UACGGAGGAUCCAAGCGUUAUCCGGAUUUAUUGGGUUUAAAGGGUGCGUAGGCGGCCAAUUAAGUCAGGGGUGAAAGACGGUAGCUUAACUAUCGCAGUGCCUUUGAUACUGAUUGGCUUGAAUACACUAGAGGUAGGCGGAAUGUGACAAGUAGCGGUGAAAUGCAUAGAUAUGUCACAGAACACCAAUUGCGAAGGCAGCUUACUAUGGUGUGAUUGACGCUGAGGCACGAAAGCGUGGGGAUCAAACAGG
rnacentral:rRNA from 2 species